GUUGUUUCAGAAAGUAAAAUGUAAAAACUUGCUCACUUGUAACCACAAUUAAUUACCGUAACCCUAACAAAACUCUAAAACUUUGCGAGGCAAAUUAACCCAACCAUCAAUUAACUCGACUUUUGAAUAUUGAAGAGUUCCGGCGCACUUCUGGCGAGGGAGACACCAAUUCUUAUUUGUUGAUAUCAGUAGGGCCCGUUGGUUAGAAAGCCGAUUAGCUUAAUCUUAGGUUAACGAAAAGUUCCAAAGCAAUCUUCC